rnacentral:rRNA from 1 species
UACCAGCUCUCCGAGUGGUAGGGAUGAUUAUUGGGCUUAAAGCGUCCGUAGCCGGCUUAGCAAGUUUCCUGUUAAACCCAGCGACUCAAUCGUUGGAUCGCGGGAAAUACUACUAGGCUAGGAGGCGGGAGAGGUCAACGGUACUUCUGGGGUAGGGGUGAAAUCCUAUAAUCCCGGGAGGACCACCAGUGGCGAAGGCUGUUGACUAGAACGCGCUCGACGGUGAGGGACGAAAGCUGGGGUAGCAAACCGGAUUAGAUACCCGGGUAGUCCCAGCUGUAAACGAUGCGAGCUAGGUGUUGGGAUGGCUACGGGCCAUUUCAGUGCCGCAGGGAAGCCAUUAAGCUCGCCGCCUGGGGAGUACGGCCGCAAGGCUGAAACUUAAGGAAUUGGCGGGGAGCACCACAAGGCGUGAAGCUUGCGGUUC